rnacentral:sRNA from 1 species
AUUGCGGAAGUUUGGUGGGGAGGGUCGGAGCUGUGGUGGAGAGCUUGUUGUCUAAAACAAGUUCCGGAAGGGAGGCUGCCCCUCGCGGUCCGAGAACCACCGGCCUCCUCUGUUUGAGGGCUGUUACCCCGUGCGCGCUUCGACGUUGCUGCUGUUGGCUCUCCUCGCCCCUCGUUCCCUUGGGAACCGCCUGGGACCUCCGCCAUGUCAUCCACUUCGCCCAACCUCCAGAAAGCGAUAGAUCUGGCUAGCAAAGCAGCGCAAGAAGACAAGGCUGGGAACUACGAAGAAGCCCUUCAGCUCUAUCAGCAUGCUGUGCAGUAUUUUCUUCAUGUCGUUAAAUAUGAAGCACAGGGUGAUAAAGCCAAGCAAAGUAUCAGGGCAAAGUGUACAGAAUAUCUUGAUAGAGCAGAAAAACUAAAGGAGUACCUGAAAAAUAAAGAGAAAAAAGCACAGAAGCCAGUGAAAGAAGGACAGCCGAGUCCAGCAGAUGAGAAGGGGUGCCAUUGUUAUAGAACGACCAAAUGUGAAAUGGAGUGACGUUGCUGGACUUGAAGGAGCCAAAGAAGCACUGAAAGAGGCUGUGAUACUGCCUAUUAAAUUUCCUCAUCUUUUUACAGGCAAGAGAACACCUUGGAGGGGAAUCCUAUUAUUUGGGCCGCCUGGAACAGGAAAGUCCUACUUAGCCAAAGCUGUAGCAACAGAAGCCAACAACUCAACAUUUUUUUCAAUAUCUUCCUCUGAUCUUGUUUCUAAGUGGCUAGGUGAAAGUGAAAAACUGGUUAAGAAUUUAUUCCAACUUGCCAGAGAGAAUAAGCCCUCCAUUAUCUUCAUUGAUGAAAUUGAUUCUCUGUGUGGUUCAAGAAGUGAAAAUGAAAGUGAAGCCGCACGUAGAAUUAAGACGGAGUUCCUAGUGCAAAUGCAAGGGGUUGGUGUAGACAAUGAUGGAAUUUUGGUUCUGGGAGCUACAAAUAUACCCUGGGUUCUGGAUUCUGCCAUUAGGCGAAGAUUUGAGAAACGAAUUUAUAUUCCUUUGCCGGAACCCCAUGCCCGAGCAGCAAUGUUUAAACUGCACCUGGGGACCACUCAGAACAGUCUGACGGAAGCAGACUUUCGGGAACUUGGGAGGAAAACAGAUGGUUAUUCAGGGGCAGAUAUAAGUAUCAUUGUACGUGAUGCCCUUAUGCAGCCUGUUAGGAAAGUACAGUCAGCUACUCAUUUUAAAAAGGUAAGUCAUUUUCAUUUAUCCUUUCCUAUCUUUUUUUCUUUUUUUUUUUUUUUUUUGAGACAGUCUCACUCUGUCGCCCAGGCUGGAGUGCAAUGGCACUAUCUCAGCUCGCUGCAACCUCCGCCUCCCGGGUUCAAGCAAUUCUCGUGCCUCAGCCUCCUGAGUAGCUGGAAUUACAGGCGUGUGCCACCAUGCCUGGCUAAUUUUUUGUAUUUUUAGUAGAGACGGGAUUUCACCAUGUUGGCCAGGCUCGUCUCGAACUCCUGACUCCAGGUGAUCCACCCACCUCGGCCUCCCAAAGGCAUGAGCCACUGCGCGUGGCCACUUUCGUAUAUUUUUAAAAUCAAGUUUUAAGACCGUCAUUGGUUUGUCUUCAAAGAAUUUGGGAGGAUUUCAGUGUUGUAUAAUAAUACAAUAAGUGGGUUUACAUAAUAGACAUAUUUCUGUGUCACUG